rnacentral:rRNA from 1 species
AUUGAACGCUGGCGGAAUGCUUUACACAUGCAAGUCGAACGGCAGCGCGGGUGCUUGCACCUGGCGGCGAGUGGCGAACGGGUGAGUAAUAUAUCGGAACGUGCCCAGUAAUGGGGGAUAACUAACCGAAAGGUUAGCUAAUACCGCAUACGCCCUGAGGGGGAAAGCGGGGGCUCGUAAGAAUCCGCGUUAUUGGAGCGGCCGAUAUCUGAUUAGCUAGUUGGUAGGGUAAAGGGCUACCAAGGCGACGAUCAGUAGCGGGUCUGAGAGGAUGAUCAGCCACACUGGGACUGAGACACGGCCCAGACUCCUACGGGAGGCAGCAGUGGGGAAUUUUGGACAAUGGGUGAAAGCCUGAUCCAGCCAUUCCGCGUGAGUGAAGAAGGCCUUCGGGUUGUAAAGCUCUUUCGGCAGGAACGAAACGCUCUGGACCAAUACUCCGGGGUAAUGACGGUACCUGAAGAAGAAGCACCGGCUAACUACGUGCCAGCCGCCGCCGUAA